GGCUCGUUGGUCUAGGGGUAUGAUUCUCGCUUCGGUUGCGAGAGGUCCCGGGUUCAAAUCCCGCACGAGCCC
rnacentral:tRNA from 1 species